GUCUAUGGCCAUGCCACCCUGAACAUGCCCGAUCCCGUCUGAUCUCGGAAGCUAAGCAGGGUCAUGCCUGGUUAGUACUUGGAUGGGAGACCACCUAGGAAGACCAGGUGCUAUAGGCU
rnacentral:rRNA from 1 species